rnacentral:rRNA from 1 species
UACGUAGGGGGCAAGCGUUAUCCGGAUUUACUGGGUGUAAAGGGGGCGCAGACGGCGAUGCAAGCCAGGAGUGAAAGCCCGGGGCCCAACCCCGGGACUGCUCUUGGGACUGCGUGGCUGGAGUGCAGGAGGGGCAGGCGGAAUUCCUGGUGUAGCGGUGAAAUGCGUAGAUAUCAGGAGGAACACCGGUGGCGAAGGCGGCCUGCUGGACUGCAACUGACGUUGGGGCCCGAAAGCGUGGGGAGCAAACAGG